rnacentral:rRNA from 1 species
GACGAACGCUGGCGGCGUGCUUAACACAUGCAAGUCGAACGGCAAGGCCCUGCUUUUGUGGGGUGCUCGAGUGGCGAACGGGUGAGUAACAGGUGAGUAACCUGCCCUUGACUUUGGGAUAACUUCAGGAAACUGGGGCUAAUACCGGAUAGCAGCUCCUGCUGCAUGGUGGGGGUUGGAACGUUUCGGCGGUAGGGGAUGGACUCGCGGCUGAUCAGCUAGUUGGUGGGGUAGUGGCUUACCAAGGCUGUGACGGGUAGCCGGCCUGAGAGGGUGACCGGCCACAUUGGGACUGAGAGACGGCGCAGACUCCUACGGGAGGCAGCAGUGGGAAAUAUUGCACAAUGGGCGGACGCCUGAUGCAGCAACGCUGCGUGCGGGAUGACGGCCUUCUGGGUGUAAACCGCUUUCGCCUGUGACGAAGCGUGAGUGACGGUAAUGGGUAAAGAAGCACCGGCUAACUACGUG